GUACCGUGAGGGAAAGGCGAAAAGAACCCCGGCGAGGGGAGUGAAAAAGAACCUGAAACCGUGUACGUACAAGCAGUGGGAGCACGCUUAGGCGUGUGACUGCGUACCUUUUGUAUAAUGGGUCAGCGACUUAUAUUCUGUAGCAAGGUUAACCGAAUAGGGGAGCCGAAGGGAAACCGAGUCUUAACUGGGCGUUAAGUUGCAGGGUAUAGACCCGAAACCCGGUGAUCUAGCCAUGGGCAGGUUGAAGGUUGGGUAACACUAACUGGAGGACCGAACCGACUAAUGUUGAAAAAUUAGCGGAUGACUUGUGGCUGGGGGUGAAAGGCCAAUCAAACCGGGAGAUAGCUGGUUCUCCCCGAAAGCUAUUUAGGUAGCGCCUCGUGAAUUCAUCUCCGGGGGUAGAGCACUGUUUCGGCAAGGGGGUCAUCCCGACUUACCAACCCGAUGCAAACUGCGAAUACCGGAGAAUGUUAUCACGGGAGACACACGGCGGGUGCUAACGUCCGUCGUGAAGAGGGAAACAACCCAGACCGCCAGCUAAGGUCCCAAAGUCAUGGUUAAGUGGGAAACGAUGUGGGAAGGCCCAGACAGCCAGGAUGUUGGCUUAGAAGCAGCCAUCAUUUAAAGAAAGCGUAAUAGCUCACUGGUCGAGUCGGCCUGCGCGGAAGAUGUAACGGGGCUAAACCAUGCACCGAAGCUGCGGCAGCGACGCUGAUGCGUUGUUGGGUAGGGGAGCGUUCUGUAAGCCUGCGAAGGUGUGCUGUGAGGCAUGCUGGAGGUAUCAGAAGUGCGAAUGCUGACAUAAGUAACGAUAAAGCGGGUGAAAAGCCCGCUCGCCGGAAGACCAAGGGUUCCUGUCCAACGUUAAUCGGGGCAGGGUGAGUCGACCCCUAAGGCGAGGCCGAAAGGCGUAGUCGAUGGGAAACAGGUUAAUAUUCCUGUACUUGG
rnacentral:rRNA from 1 species